GGCAGAGAAACUGAGUUAGAAACAUGGAGAGAGAGAGGCAGAGAAACCUAGAGAGAGAAACAUGGAGAGAGAGAGGCAGAGAAACUUAGAGACAGAAACAUGGAGAGAGAGAGGCAGAGAAACUGAGAGAAAGAAACAUGGAGAGAGAGAGGCAGAGAAACUGAGAGAAAGAAUCAUGGAGAGAGAGAGGCAGAGAAACUAAGAGAGAAACGGGGAGAGUGAGAGGCAGAGAAACUGAGAGACAGAAACAGAGAAAGGCAGAGAAACUGAGAGACAGAAACAAAGUGAGAGAGAGGCAGAGAAACUGAGAUAGAGAAACAUGGAGAGAGAGAGGCAGAGAAACUGAGAGAUAGAAACACAGAGUGAGAGAGGCAGAGAAACUGAGAGAGAAACGGGGAGAGUGAGAGGCAGAGAAACUGAGAGACAGAAACACAGAGUGAGAGAGGCAGAGAAACAGAGAGAAACGGGGAGAGUGAGAGGCAGAGAAACUGAGAGACAGAAACAGAGAAAGGCAGAGAAACUGAGAGACAGAAACAAAGAGAGAGAGAGGCAGAGAAACUGAGAUAGAGAAACAUGGAGAGAGAGAGAGGCAGAGAAACUUAGAGAUAGAAACAUGGAGAGAGAGAGCAGAGAAACUGAGAGACAGAAACAUGGAGAGAGAGAGAGGCAGAGAAACUGAGACAGAAACAUGGAGAGAGAGAGAGGCAGAGAAACUGAGAGACAGAAACAUGGAGUCAGAGAGGCAGAGAAACUGAGAGACAGAACCAGGGAAAGAGAGAGGUAUAGAAACUGAGAGACAGAAACAGGGAGAGAGAGAGGCAGAGAAACUGAGAGAGAAACAGGGAGAGAGAGAGGUUGAGAAACUGAGAGACAGAAACAUG
rnacentral:lncRNA from 1 species